AGGGAAAGGGAUGGACUUGCCUGGCAGUUUUGAUGAGACUCUUGGGUUGGCAACAAACAGAUACUCAGAAGCAGUCUAAGAGGACUUUUUCAUAAUCUGUUCUUCAGAUGAGAGCACUGUUCACGUCUGAUUUGUGGUCGUGUCAAGGACUGAACCUAGGAUGCUGGAGCCUCAGGCAAGGAAGUCUGCUGUGUAAAUUGAGUGAGGAGUAGGAACGGGAGCUCCUGUCCACUGAGCAAGCACUAUGUGCCAGGCUGGAGGUCCUGGACAUUCUGGACAUUUGU